GCCAAUGAAGAUCCCUGCCAAGAAACUACUACUUUUUGAACACCCAGUACAUAUCGAUAUAUAUCGAAACAAAAUGUAAACAUAUAGUGGCAAUGAGUGGUUCCCAAUCCCAAAUGAAUACUGAUAAGAAUUCACCAGAAGCAUGGGCAACGGCAUGGGUUGCAUUUGCAUGUAAAUUUGAACGACAUCGAACGGUUACUUAUAUGUUUUCAAGCUGAAAUCGCGUGUAGCAGUGCACUGAUUGUGAGUCUUUAGUUUGCCUAUAAUUCAAAGGGAAAUGGCAGUAAAUAAAAAUGUAAUACUAUUGUGAAGUUUACUAAUUUCUAUGAAGUAAGAAAUGCCUCCAAUCCAAAUCUAUCCUGAGUUCUGCUACCUUGAAAGCAGGAUCUGGAUUUCAAAUGUCAAUGUUGUUGGUGGUGAGCCGCCCUGCAACUGUCCUCAAUGUCCUCGCCUUGAGUGUGUUUUUUUAUUAGUACUGAUUCAACUCCUACAAGUGCAGCUCAAUUUCCAUGGUGUCGCAUCAAGACUCCAGAAGGGUCUAAGAAUUGCCUAACAUUCAAUACAGCUCGUCCAAUUCCUCUUUCUACUUACAUUGUCGUGGAGCACGGUAACUGCAAGACAACUCUAUGAGCAGCCGAACUAUGAAAAAAGCAAUGCAGAGUAAAGAAUAUAAGUUUCGAAGUUCAGUGCAUAGAUCUAAAGCCUUAAUUCCCUGGUUUGGAGAUAGGAUCGAAAUCAGAUGCAUGGCCGUAUUGUUGUACUCUUUCAUAUGUAUGCUGACUGCUGAAUUGCUAAAGUACUGAAAAAUGGUUCUCCCAAAACGCAGCUUCACAUUAGAAGAUGUUAGCCAAGCCUUGAGAGCAGCAAAUCUCAGUGCUGCUGACAUUCCACGUAUGAUGCUCACAUCAAAAGAUUUCCAAAGGCUAUGUGAAUCUCUGAACGUUGAAUUUCAGUGCUAACUUUAAAUAAGAUACUACUUCUGUUUUGAGGAUCUAAUGAUAUCUGCUACAAGAAAACCCUCAACACAUGUCCACCUUCUUCAUCCUCAUUGUUUGCAUCUGCUUUGUUAUUACAGAGUCGAUAAUUUAUUUUAACCUUCAAGUCCAUUGAGCCUAGUAUGGGUAUUUUGAGUUGAUUGAAUCUGUUUAAAAAUGUUUAACUCACUCUGCUCUUAUACUUUAAAAAUGUAAGCUCCGCUGUCAUUGAGCACAUCUUCACAGAAUGAUCUGAUAACUUUGCAGCCAAUACAGCAUCCUCUUUUGCCAUAAAAAUUGCCAAUGACAAUUACUUCUUUUGAAGUUUUGACCUUUGCAACCUCGUCAGUUUUACGUAAAUCUUUGUGACCAAAAAUGACCACAUCUUACUGAAAUGACUAAAAUUAUUAAGAUCCAUUAAAACUCACUUUCGCUUACAAUAAAUAAAAUUGGACUAGUUUUAAAGGCUUUCCUUCAUCUUCAGUGAACACCGGCAGUUGGUGUUCACUGAAGAGGAAGAAAUGCCCUCGAAACCAGUCCAAUUUUAUUUAUUUUAAAUGCAAGUGAGUUUUAGUAGUACUUAAUAAUUUUAGUCAUUUUAGAAUCUUGUGUAGUCCAUUUUACGUAUUUAUUGAAAAAUCCUUACAGAGCUUGCUAAUCUUAGAUUGUGCUAUUAAGAAGCACGUGAAAGAAUUCCAAACGUACCGGGCCGUUUCCUUAUUUCUGGGCUCUUGUGAUUAUGUACUGCCAUAUUAACGUUUUAAAUGUUUUUAUCUUCAAAACAAUCUUCAUCAAUUUAUUUAAUAUGCCUCAGAGAUUCUCUGCCCUACAUACCAGCAUUUGUUUCCAAAUUUCGGUGUUUAAAAAUUUUGGAAUCUGAUAUCCUGAUUGUAUAUUGUAUGCAUAUUUUGAAAAAAUUCUGUUCUUAUUGUAAUCAAAAGUGAUUUUACAUACGUCUCAUGAUUGCCCUAUCUCGGGUCUUUGUAGUCCCGGCAUUGUUGAGCCUUUCUUUUCUUUGCCUUUGACUUGUGUAUCCUCAGCCUGUAGUCUCUCGCAAUGACCUAUGUUUGUGAUAUAUUACAGGCAGAUCCUGAGAAAUUUCCUUUUUUCACCUAAAUAUCAACUCGUAGGCAAUCAUUGCUAUCAGGGCAUGGUUGGUAUGAGUAACUCCUUAUUAGCCGUGUUCGUCAAGAAAAUAAGGAAAAGAAAAUGGAUGCAACUAUCUUUAUUUCAAGCCUCAGUAGUUUUAUGGCAAUAAGUGUCUUUACUAUCGAAUUGUUUACUUCCUAGAAUGUAGUUCUCUGUAUUGACUUAUGCACAUCAUACUAGGGACAGUUAGCAAUUAUUUUCCUGUCUCAUAAAUAAUUUAUAAUCAGUAAACCUUUUUCUGAGUGUCUUUUAAUGCUCCAUUGAAGAUGAAUAGAUUCAAAUAUUCAGUGUUACCAUGACUUUCCUGCUGUAGUGUUUGCUUUAAAAGUUCUGUUGUUCAAUGUGACUUUUCAUCCGAUACUAUUUGUACGAAGGUGACAAACUUGUAAGUAUAUCAAACUCAUUAGUUCCUUUUUAUUGGAAUCUUGAUGCAAAGUGACGUAAAUAAUUGGUGAGGAAGAAAAAGCGAUGGUUCUGAAGCAAUAUAGUCCCUGAGCCUUAUCCACUGGUGUGCUAAUUAGUCUGUUUUCUUCAAUUGUUACCAAUAUCCUUCUUUUUGUCAUUUAGUCAGAAAGCAAUUUAUUUUUAGGUAAUACUAGCGCACCAAGUUAAUACUAGUUCAUGUACAGAUUAUUGUUAUUGUUACUUAAAAAUUUAAUUUUCAACUCCCUGCACACAUCUGUGUGUAUGGAGAUGUUGUUCUAAAUGUGCUGUGAAUUAUUAGUUUGUCCUCUUUGAAAACUUGGUGCAAAGUGUCGUAAAUAUUUUGUGAAAAAAAAAGACACUGGAUCUGAAGGGCCUGUACUUAAACUCUUCCUAGUGAUAUGUUAAUUAGUUAUUUCCCUGGAAUUCACUCAGGUUUCUUAUCGCCAUGUAGUCAGGAAGAAAUCUCUCAUUUGCUACGUACCACUGUGCAAAUUUGGAAUUAGUCAAUGUACGUAUCAAUUGUACAUACAACAUACACCAUGACAAGUAUUAAUUUUUUCACAAACUAUCUGAAUUGUAAAUAAUUGCACCCCUAAAUCAUUACCGAAAAUGAGUCUUUGAAAAGAAACAAGGAAAUUCACAGGCUCAAUUUUAGUUUGGAUCUGGGUUCAAGCAUAAUUUUGCCUUGUUACCCAUUUUUUUUUUAAAUAAAAUCAUAUCAGUAUGUACUUUCA